rnacentral:rRNA from 1 species
UACGUAGGUGGCAAGCGUUUGUUCGGAAUUAUUGGGCGUAAAGGGCGCGUAGGCGGUUUGUUAAGUCGGUUGUGAAAGCCCGGGGCUCAACCCCCGGAGGGUCGACCGAUACUGGCAGGCUAGAGUACAGAAGAGGUAGCUGGAAUUCCCGGUGUAGCGGUGAAAUGCGUAGAUAUCAGGAGGAACACCGGCGGUGUAGACGGGCUUACUGGACCAUAACUGACGCUGAGGCACGAAAGCGUGGGUAGCAAACAGG